rnacentral:rRNA from 1 species
AGUGAACGCUGGCGGUAGGCCUAACACAUGCAAGUCGAACGGCAGCACAGUAAGAGCUUGCUCUUACGGGUGGCGAGUGGCGGAAGGGUGAGGAAUACAUCGGAAUCUACUUUUUCGUGGGGGAUAACGUAGGGAAACUUACGCUAAUACCGCAUACGACGUACGGGUGAAAGCAGGGGAUCUUCGGACCUUGCGCGAGUGAAUGAGCCGAUGACGGAUUAGCUAGUUGGCGGGGUAAAGGCCCACCAAGGCGACGAUCCGUAGCUGGUCUGAGAGGAUGAUCCGCCACACUGGAACUGAGACACGGUCCAGACUCCUACGGGAGGCCGCAGUGGGGAAUAUUGGACAAUGGGCCCAAGCCUGAUCCAGCCAUACCGCGUGAGUGAAGAAGGACUUCGGGUUGUAAAGCCCUUUUGUUGGGAAAGAAAAGCAGCAGGUUAAUACCCCGCUGUUCUGACGGUACCCAAAGAAUAAGCACCGGCUAACUUCGUG